rnacentral:pre_miRNA from 1 species
UGGUUCCUGAAGAGAUGGUAGACUAUGGAACGUAGGCGUUAUGAUUUCUGACCUAUGUAACAUGGUCCACUAACUCUCAGUAUCCAAUCCAUCCUCGGAGGGC